GAGUUUGAUCCUGGCUCAGGACGAACGCUGGCGGCGUGCCUAAUACAUGCAAGUCGAGCGGAUCUUCAUUAGCUUGCUUUUGAAGAUCAGCGGCGGACGGGUGAGUAACACGUGGGCAACCUGCCUGUAAGACUGGGAUAACUUCGGGAAACCGGAGCUAAUACCGGAUGAUCCUUUUCCUCUCAUGAGGAAAAGCUGAAAGACGGUUUCGGCUGUCACUUACAGAUGGGCCCGCGGCGCAUUAGCUAGUUGGUGAGGUAACGGCUCACCAAGGCGACGAUGCGUAGCCGACCUGAGAGGUGAUCGGCCACACUGGGACUGAGACACGGCCCAGACUCCUACGGGAGGCAGCAGUAGGGAAUCGUUCCGCAAUGGACGAAAGUCUGACGGAGCAACGCCGCGUGAGCGAUGAAGGCCU
rnacentral:rRNA from 1 species